rnacentral:rRNA from 1 species
UCAGCGCAUGGCCCACUGAUUGACGUGCUUGCACUGACUUGACGUUGGAUUACCCCGUGCGGCGGACGGGUGAGUAACACGUGGGUAACCUGCCCCGUAGCGGGGGAUAACAUUUGGAAACAGAUGCUAAUACCGCAUAACAACUUGAAUCGCAUGAUUUUCAUUUCAAAGAUGGUUUCGGCUAUCACUUUGGGAUGGACCUGCGGCGCAUUAGCUUGUUGGUAGGGUAACGGCCUACCAAGGCUGUGAUGCGUAGCCGAGUUGAGAGACUGAUCGGCCACCAUGGAACUGAGACACGGUCCAUACUCCUACGGGAGGCCGCCGUAGGGAAUCUUCCGCGAUGGGCGCAAGCCUGAUGGAGCAGCACCGCGUGAGUGAAGAAGGGUUUCGGCUCGUAUAGCUCUGUUGUUGGAGAAGAUCGUGCGUGAGAGCAGCUGUUCUCGCCGUGGCGGUGUCUGGCCUGACUGUCCCGGCUUUCUGCGUGCCGGCGGCCGCGGUUGUGCGUGGGUGGCCCGCGUUGUCCGGAUUUGUUGGGCGUGGUGCGCGCGCCGGCGGUUGGUUUGGUCUGAUGUGUAGGCCUUUGGCUUGGCCGAUGACGGGCCUCGGAGUCUGUCCGA